AUGAGAAUUAGCUUGGAGAUUUUUGAUAUAAAAAUUAUAUAUGGAAGCUAUAAAUCGAAUUCUUAUAUAGAAACGCUAUCCAAUAUCAUGCCCACAAUUUUAUCUGGUUCAUUGGUCUCGUAGAAUUAACAAAUGAUGUAUUAGUGAAAACUCCUGCAAAUAUAAUAAGAUACAAGGUUCAUAUCCAUUUAUAAGAUACAAGGACCCAAAUGUUU
rnacentral:lncRNA from 1 species